UCUACCUGCUCACCUCUUUCCUUCUCCAACUCUGGGCUCAUGCUGGGGCCUUCUCUCCAAGAGAAAGGGCUUAAUCUGGGGCUUCUCAACCUCACCACCAUUGACAUUUGGGGCCAGAUAUUUCUUUGCUGUGGGAGCUGUCCUGUGCACGGUAGGAUGUUUAGCCGCAUCCUUGCCUCCAUCCAAGAGAGGCCAGCAGCACCCCUCUCCUCCCCCUCCCCAAGCUGUGAAGGCCAAAAAUGUCUCUGGACUUUCCAAAUGUCCCCCGGGGGGCUACCUCCAGCCCUCCCUGUGCUGCCGCACCUCUGGGUCACACCCACUGUGUUCCGCUUGCCUUAGAGGGGGUAGGACUGUGAGCUGGAACAUAGUAGGAACUCAAUAACAAUUGGGUUGAUUCAUUAUGGAGAACUGUUUUGUGUAUGUUCCUUGUCUGAGAGCCAAUUUGCAGGGCACUCCUGAAGGGUUCACAGAGCAAAGACGGUUGUGCUGUGUCUGGAAGGAUAAAUAGGAGUUCUCACGGAAGAAUCCAGGUGGGCAGCUCGAGAUCUCCUUCCAAAUGACUCUGGAAGAUAAAAUUGGAGACAGUGUUUAACCUGGCACCUGUUCCACCUCUGCCAGCUCUGGGACAACCCAAAAGUUUCUAAGAGCACUAGGCAGUGGGGUUACUGCAAGGUGCUGGAGAUGAACCCAGCCAGUGCUAUUUCCACGAUGGUGAUGGUACAGUAGCAAGUUUAUGUGGUUGACUCUGAGAGUGCAAUGCAGUCCUCAAUGGAAGCAGCACCCAUAGCACCAAACAGCGUAAGUCACAGUGAGUCUCUGUAAGACUCUUCGCUGUAAUCCAGCAGCAGUCCUAUGACUGAAGGAGGCAAGGGCUACUUUAGGUCACAUUUUGGGUGGAAGGAGUAGUCCCCAAGUGUCUGAGCCUCCAUGGGAGCAGAGUUUGAUUGACCCCUUCACAGAACACAUAGAAUACUGGAGCAUCCUCAGGUAAGCCACAGCUUCAAGGAUGCACUACUGUGACUCACACCCAAAAGUAUACCAAAAUCUCUUUCCUAGGCUUUAGCCCUGCCCGUAACAGGCUCUUGACAGGGCUUCUCUACCUCGGGAUGCUUUUGACACUGCAAACCCAGUGAGGCCAAAGUGAAUUUAUUUUCUUUCCUCCCAACCUUCUUCUUCCUUUCUUUCUACAUUUCCUAUUGUGGUUUGUGACACCAUCAUUUGUCCAUGCUGUUGCUCAAGCUAGAAAGCUUAAGAGCUGUCCUGGAAUACCCUCUCUGUCCCCUUGGUAACCCACUAGGGUCACCAAAUUCUGAGGACACAGUCUCAGGGUUAUCUUCUCUGCCCCUUGCCACUGACUUAGUCUGGGAACUCACAGUUGUUUUUGUAUUAGUUGUGAUAUGGUAAUAGACUCUUAACUUUUUUAUUUUGUCUAUAUGUAGAAUUAAUACAUGUUCAUUGUAGAUAUACAAUCUGAAAAAUGCUGAAAUGAAUAAAGAAUCUCACUACUCAGAAAAACACACAAGUAAUAUUUGGAAUAUUUCCUUCCAAUCUAUUCUUAUGGAGAUAUUUGUUUCAUAGAUGUUUGUUUGGGGUGUCUAUAAUUGAGAUCAUAUUAUGUGAAUGGUUUUAUAUCCCUCUUUACCUGUCAUGAUAAUUUUCUUACAGCAUUAGAAAUUCUUUAAAAACAUGCUUUUGAAAAGUGGACUAGGGCUUCCCUGGUGGUGAAAAGGUUGAGAAUCCGCCUGCCAAUGCAGGGGACACGGGUUCGAGCCCUGGUCCGGGAAGAUCCCACAUGCCAUCCCACAUGGCAAGAUCCCACAUGCCAUGCCAUCCCAGCUAAGCCUGUGCUCCACAACUACUGAGCCUGUGUGCCACAACUACUGAAGCCCGCGUGCCUAGAGCCGGUGCUCUGCAACAAGAGAAGCCACUGCAAUGAGAAGCCCAUGCACCGCAAUGAAGAGUAGCCCCUGCUCGCCACAACUAGAGAAAAGCCCGCAGCAACGAAGA